rnacentral:misc_RNA from 1 species
GCCACUUUUUCACUACAUGUUGCCACUGUCUGCUAAUCACGGCAGUCUGUUUGAUCGGUCAUUGUGGGAAGCCUAUGUAGUUGCGAAUAAAUUGUUUGCACAAAAAGUGGUUGAGGUUAUAAAUCCAGAUGAUGAUUUUAUUUGGAUUCACGAUUACCAUUUGAUGGUGCUUCCAACUUUCUUGAGAAAGCGCAUUAAGCGGAUAAGAAUGGGGUUUUUCCUUCACAGUCCAUUUCCAUCAUCUGAGAUCUACAGGACCCUUCCUGUAGGGGAAGAAAUACUUAGGGCUUUACUGAACACUGAUCUUAUUGGUUUCCACACUUUUGAUUAUGCUAGACAUUUCCUGUCCUGUUGCAGUCGUAUGUUGGGUUUGGAAUAUGAGUCGAAGAGGGGCUACCUGGCCCUAGAAUACUAUGGAAGGACUAUUGGGAUCAAGAUUAUGCCAGUUGGGGUUCAUAUGGGUCGGAUUCUUUCAUUGAUGAAACAGGCAGAUAAGGAAUGCUGGGUAGGCCAGCUCAGACAGCAGUUUGAAG